rnacentral:rRNA from 1 species
GAUGAACGCUGGCGGCGUGCCUAAUACAUGCAAGUCGAGCGAACAGACGAGGAGCUUGCUCUUCUGACGUUAGCGGCGGACGGGUGAGUAACACGUGGAUAACCUACCUAUAAGACUGGGAUAACUUCGGGAAACCGGAGCUAAUACCGGAUAAUAUAUUGAACCGCAUGGUUCAAUAGUGAAAGACGGUUUUGCUGUCACUUAUAGAUGGAUCCGCGCCGCAUUAGCUAGUUGGUAAGGUAACGGCUUACCAAGGCAACGAUGCGUAGCCGACCUGAGAGGGUGAUCGGCCACACUGGAACUGAGACACGGUCCAGACUCCUACGGGAGGCAGCAGUAGGGAAUCUUCCGCAAUGGGCGAAAGCCUGACGGAGCAACGCCGCGUGAGUGAUGAAGGUCUUCGGAUCGUAAAACUCUGUUAUUAGGGAAGAACAAAUGUGUAAGUAACUGUGCACGUCUUGACGGUACCUAAUCAGAAAGCCACGGCUAACUACGUG